rnacentral:rRNA from 1 species
GUGAGGAAUAUUGCGCAAUGGAGGCAACUCUGACGCAGCCAUGCCGCGUGCAGGAAGAAGGCGCUACGCGUUGUAAACUGCUUUUAACCGGGAAGAAACCCCAGGACGUGUCCUGGGUUGACGGUACCGGAGGAAUAAGCACCGGCUAACUUCGUGCCAGCAGCCGCGGUAAUACGAAGGGUGCAAGCGUUAUCCGGAUUCAUUGGGUUUAAAGGGUGCGUAGGCGGAGCGUUAAGUCAGUGGUGAAAUCCUGCAGCUUAACUGUAGACUUGCCAUUGAUACUGGCGCUCUUGAGUGCGCUUGAAGUGGGCGGAAUGUGCCGUGUAGCGGUGAAAUGCUUAGAUAUGGCACAGAAUACCAAUUGCGAAGGCAGCUCACUAAGGCGAUACUGACGCUGAGGCACGAAAGCGUGGGGAUCGAACAGGAUUAGAAACCCGUGUAGUCC